rnacentral:rRNA from 1 species
UUAACAGAGAGUUUGAUCCUGGCUCAGGAUGAACGCUGGCGGCGUGGUUAAGGCAUGCAAGUCGCGCGGAUGUAGCGACCGCAAGGUUGCUGCAUGAGCGGCGAACGAGUUAGUAACACAUUGGUACUCACCCCGAAGAGGGAGAUAACCAGCCGAAAGGUUGGCUAAUACCCCAUAGUCCCCGGCUAAAUUUUUGAAGAAAAGCUGCAUAAGAACUUAUUGAGAACAACAGAUCAUUUUUUCUCAAGAUUAUAGCAAGAUGUUUGUCUUCAAAAAUUUAGUCUGGGUAAAGCAGCAAUGCGCUUCGGGAGAGGCCUAUGUCCUAUCAGCUAGUUGGUGAGGUAACGGCUCACCAAGGCUAUGACGGGUAGGGGGUGUGAGAGCACGGCCCCCAACGACGACACUGAGAUACGGGUCGUACUCCUACGGGAGGCUGCAGUC